UAAAAAGAUAAGCUAAUCAAGCUUAUAGGUUCAUACCCUGUCCAUGAAAGAUAAAACUUUCUCUUUUUAA
rnacentral:tRNA from 1 species